GAGCGGUAUUGUUUCUUCGGAAAUGAGAGAGCGGCGUACGGGUGCGGAACACGUGUGCAACCUGCCUUUAUCAGGGGGAUAGCCUUUCGAAAGGAAGAUUAAUACCCCAUAAUAUAUUGAAUGGCAUCAUUUGAUAUUGAAAACUCCGGUGGAUAGAGAUGGGCACGCGCAAGAUUAGAUAGUUGGUAGGGUAACGGCCUACCAAGUCAGUGAUCUUUAGGGGGCCUGAGAGGGUGAUCCCCCACACUGGUACUGAGACACGGACCAGACUCCUACGGGAGGCAGCAGUGAGGAAUAUUGGACAAUGGGUGAGAGCCUGAUCCAGCCAUCCCGCGUGAAGGACGACGGCCCUAUGGGUUGUAAACUUCUUUUGUAUAGGGAUAAACCUAGAUACGUGUAUCUAGCUGAAGGUACUAUACGAAUAAGCACCGGCUAACUCCGUGCCAGCAGCCGCGGUAAUACGGAGGGUGCAAGCGUUAUCCGGAUUUAUUGGGUUUAAAGGGUCCGUAGGCGGAUCUGUAAGUCAGUGGUGAAAUCUCAUAGCUUAACUAUGAAACUGCCAUUGAUACUGCAGGUCUUGAGUAAGGUAGAAGUAGCUGGAAUAAGUAGUGUAGCGGUGAAAUGCAUAGAUAUUACUUAGAACACCAAUUGCGAAGGCAGGUUACUAUGUCUUAACUGACGCUGAUGGACGAAAGCGUGGGGAGCGAACAGGAUUAGAUACCCUGGUAGUCCACGCCGUAAACGAUGCUAACUCGUUUUUGGGUUUUCGGAUUCAGAGACUAAGCGAAAGUGAUAAGUUAGCCACCUGGGGAGUACGUUCGCAAGAAUGAAACUCAAAGGAAUUGACGGGGGCCCGCACAAGCGGUGGAUUAUGUGGUUUAAUUCGAUGAUACGCGAGGAACCUUACCAAGACUUAAAUGGGAAAUGACAGAUUUAGAAAUAGAUCCUUCUUCGGACAUUUUUCAAGGUGCUGCAUGGUUGUCGUCAGCUCGUGCCGUGAGGUGUUAGGUUAAGUCCUGCAACGAGCGCAA
rnacentral:rRNA from 1 species